UACGAAGGGGGCUAGCGUUGUUCGGAAUUACUGGGCGUAAAGCGCACGCAGGCGGCUCGAUAAAUUAGAAGUGAAAGCCCCGGGCUUAACCUGGGAAUUGCUUUUAAGACUGUCGGGCUAGAAUCCAGAAGAGGGUAGUGGAAUUCCGAGUGUAGAGGUGAAAUUCGUAGAUAUUCGGAAGAACACCAGUGGCGAAAGCGGCUCACUGGACCAUAACUGACGCUGAUGCACGAAAGCUGGGGGAGCAAACAGG
rnacentral:rRNA from 1 species